rnacentral:lncRNA from 1 species
CUCCCAGUUUGUUAUGGGCCCGACACAUCAAGCAGGCCACACGCUGCAUUUGAUCUUUGGUGCUGGCAUAGAUGUGAUCAUGCUCCCCCCUGUGGAAGUGCCAUGGUCUGAUCACUACGCUCUGAAAGCCAAGAUCGACUUCCCGCUCCUCCCCUGCUCAGGUGGCGAGCCUAUUUGGGCUCGCCCGCGAAGACUGAUGGAUCCUGAUAGAUUCCGUCUGGCCUUGAGGGACCCUGCUCCUCCUGGCGACUCAUUAGAUGACCUUGUCGAGGACUGGAAUAACCGGCUCUUGGCAGCCAUUGAUGAGAUUGCGCCUAAGCGCCCUCUGCGACCCCGUUGAAACCGGGCCCCUUGGUUUACCGAGGAGCUCCGGAAAAUGAAGCGGGAUCUCAGACGGCUAGAGCAAGUAUGACGACGGAUUCGUGACGGAGCUUCAAGAACAUCUUAUAGGACACUUAUGAAAGCCUAUGAGAUGGCUAUGAAAGCUGCUAAGAAAUCUCACUUCGCAGCUUCCAUUGCAUCCACUAGCUCUCGCCCAGCACAACUUUUUAGAAUAAUUAGGUCAAUAACGUCCUUAGGAGGACAACCAAAUUUAAGCACAAAUUCGACCCACAGCUGUGAGGCAUUUGCAAGCUUUUUUGCAGAGAAAGUCCUGUUGCUCUGCCAUGACCUUCCUGCCAAUUUAGAUACAGUGACAGAACUGGAGGCCCCUCGAUUGUCCUCGGGUCCAGUGUUAGAACAUUUCAAUCGGAUACUCCCUGCUGAUGUGGAUAGACUCCUCCAAGCUGGUAGGCCCACCACCUGCCUCCUCGAUCCGUGCCCGUCUUGGCUGAUUAGGGCGUGUCCAGAUGUCAUAGAAUCAUAGAGUUGGAAGAGACCACAAGGGCCAUCGAGUCCAACCGCCUGCCAAGCAGGAAACACCAUCAGAGCACUCCUGACAUAUGGUUGUCAAGCCUCUGCUUAAAGACCUCCAAAGAAGGAGACUCCACCACACUCCUUGGCAGCAAAUUCCACUGUUGAACAGCUCUUACUGUCAGGAAGUUCUUCCUAAUGUUUAGGUGGAAUCUUCUUUCUUGUAGUUUGGAUCCAUUGCUCCGUGUCCGCUUCUCUGGAGCAGCAGAAAACAACCUUUCUCCCUCCUCUAUGUGACAUCUUUUUAUAUAUUUGAACAUAUUGGAACAUGAAUAUAUUUUAUAUAUUUGAACAUGUCGCGCGGACCCUCCUGGUUGAAAUUAUCAAUUUGUCCCUCGACACAGGGAUAUUCCCAGGGGAGCUGAAGGAAGCAAUGGUGUGUCUGCUCUUAAAGAACACUUCACUAGAUCCUUUAGAUCUAUCCAAUUACCGCCCAGUUUCAAAUCUCCCAUAUCUGGGUAAGGUAAUUGAGAGAGCAGUUGCUGAACAGCUUGGUAGGUUUCUGGAGGAAACAUCGGCUUUAGAUCCAUUUCAGUCCAGAUUCCGUCCUGGUUUUGGGGCCGAGACGGCUCUGAUCACCCUAACAGAUGAUCUCUGCAGACAACUGGAUUGAGGCGGGUCGGGACUGCUGAUUCCCUUAGAUUUGUCAGCAGCCUUUGACAUGGUUGAUCAUGAUCUUUUGGACCACCGCCUUGCCGAUGUGGGGAUACAGGGCAUAGCCCAUAAAUGGCUGUGCUCUUUUAUCUCUGGUCGGGGACAGAGGGAGGCACUAGGGAGGGAGUUGUCGUCGCGCCACUCCUUGGUGUGUGGAGUGCCACAGGGCGCAAUCCUCUCCCCAAUGCUUUUUAACAUCUUUAUGCGCCCCCUUGCCCAGAUUAUCCGGAGCUUUGGGCUGGGUUGUCACCAAUAUGCUGGUGACACUCAGCUCUAUCUGCUGAUGGAUGGCCAUACCGACUCGAUCCCUGACACACUGACCAGAUGUUUGGAAGCUGUGGCUGGAUGGUUUCGUGGGAGCUGAUUGAAACUAAAUCCUUCAAAGACAGAGGUCCUCUGGCUGGGUCGAGAUGGUAUGGGGAUGAGGGACCAACUCCCUUCUCUUGCGGGGGCCCAAUUAGUGCCAUUGCCUUCUGUUAAGAGUUUGGGUGUAAUCCUUGACGCCUCCCUUUCCACAGAGGUGCAGGUUACAACAGCCAAGGCGACAUUUUUCCAUCUUCGCCGCAUCAAGCAGUUGGUCCCUUACCUUUCCCACCCCGACCUGGCCACAGUGAUCCAUGCGAUGGUCACCUCCAGGCUUGACUACUGUAAUUCGCUCUACGCGGGGCUGCCCUUGAAGCUGUCCCAGAAACUCCAGCGGGUGCAAAAUGCUGCAGCGAGGCUCCUCACGGGGUCUCUGCCAUGGGAGCAUAUUCACCCAGUGCUAUUCCAGCUACACUGGCUCCCAGUGGAGUACAGGGUCAGAUUUAAGGUGCUGCUUUUGAAUUUUAAAGCUCUUCACAGCCUAGGACCCUUGUAUUUACAGGACCGCCUCUCCCGGUAUGCCCCACGGAGAGCCUCAAGGUCCAUAAAUAGCAACACCCUAGUGGUCCCCGGCCCUAAGGAAGUUAGAUUAGCCUCAACCAGAGCCACAGCCUUCUCAACACUGGCUCCGGCCUGGUGGAACACUCUGCCUCAUGAGACCAGGGCCCUGCAGGAUCUGAUUUCUUUCUGCAGGGCCUGUAAGACAGAGUUGUUCCACCUGGCCUUUGGCUCAGAAUCAGUUUGAUUCCCUCCCCCUCUUUCUUUUUCCUUUCUCCUCCUAUGAAGAGAUUGCUCCCUAAUUGUUUUAAUGUUGUAUCUUAAUCUUUUAAAUUGUGUUUUAAUCAACUUGUUUUUAUUAUUGGUUGUCAGCCGUGCUGAGCCCGGUCUUGGCUGGGGAGGGCGGGGUAUAAAUAAAUUAUUAUUAUUAU